UACGGAGGGGGGCUAGCGUUGUUCGGAAUUACUGGGCGUAAAGCGCACGUAGGCGGCUUUGUAAGUUAGAGGUGAAAGCCCGGGGCUCAACUCCGGAAUUGCCUUUAAGACUGCAUCGCUAGAAUUGUGGAGAGGUAAGUGGAAUUCCGAGUGUAGAGGUGAAAUUCGUAGAUAUUCGGAAGAACACCAGUGGCGAAGGCGACUUACUGGACACAUAUUGACGCUGAGGUGCGAAAGCGUGGGGAGCAAACAAG
rnacentral:rRNA from 1 species